ACGCUGGCGGCGUGCCUAAUACAUGCAAGUAGAACGCUGAAGAGAGGAGCUUGCUCUUCUUGGAUGAGUUGCGAACGGGUGAGUAACGCGUAGGUAACCUGCCUUGUAGCGGGGGAUAACUAUUGGAAACGAUAGCUAAUACCGCAUAACAAUAGGUGACACAUGUCAUUUAUUUGAAAGGGGCAAUUGCUCCACUACAAGAUGGACCUGCGUUGUAUUAGCUAGUAGGUGAGGUAACGGCUCACCUAGGCGACGAUACAUAGCCGACCUGAGAGGGUGAUCGGCCACACUGGGACUGAGACACGGCCCAGACUCCUACGGGAGGCAGCAGUAGGGAAUCUUCAGCAAUGGGGGCAACCCUGACCGAGCAACGCCGCGUGAGUGAAGAAGGUUUUCGGAUCGUAAAGCUCUGUUGUAAGUCAAGAACGAGUGUGAGAGUGGAAAGUUCACACUGUGACGGUAGCUUACCAGAAAGGGACGGCUAACUACGUGCCAGCAGCCGCGGUAAUACGUAGGUCCCGAGCGUUGUCCGGAUUUAUUGGGCGUAAAGCGAGCGCGGGCGGUUUGAUAAGUCUGAAGUUAAAGGCUGUGGCUCAACCAUAGUUCGCUUUGGAAACUGUCAAACUUGAGUGCAGAAGGGGAGAGUGGAAUUCCAUGUGUAGCGGUGAAAUGCGUAGAUAUAUGGAGGAACACCGGUGGCGAAAGCGGCUCUCUGGUCUGUAACUGACGCUGAGGCUCGAAAGCGUGGGGAGCGAACAGGAUUAGGUACCCUGGUAGUCCACGCCGUAAACGAUGAGUGCUAGGUGUUGGAUCCUUUCCGGGAUUCAGUGCCGCAGCUAACGCAUUAAGCACUCCGCCUGGGGAGUACGACCGCAAGGUUGAAACUCAAAGGAAUUGACGGGGGCCCGCA
rnacentral:rRNA from 1 species